rnacentral:rRNA from 1 species
GYYCGRAAGGCGGRAAACGAGUUAUCUGAACCUUCGGGGAACGAUAACGGCGUCGAGCSGYGGACGGGUGAGUAAUGCCUAGGAAAUUGCCCUGAUGUGGGGGAUAACCAUUGGAAACGAUGGCUAAUACCGCAUGAUGCCUACGGGCCAAAGAGGGGGACCUUCGGGCCUCUCGCGUCAGGAUAUGCCUAGGUGGGAUUAGCUAGUUGGUGAGGUAAGGGCUCACCAAGGCGACGAUCCCUAGCUGGUCUGAGAGGAUGAUCAGCCACACUGGAACUGAGACACGGUCCAGACUCCUACGGGAGGCAGCAGUGGGGAAUAUUGCACAAUGGGCGCAAGCCUGAUGCASCCAUGCCGCGUGUGUGAAGAAGGCCUUCGGGUUGUAAAGYACUUUCAGUCGUGAGGAAGGURGURUWGUUAAUAGCUSYAUYAUUUGACGUUAGCGACAGAAGAAGCACCGGCUAACUCCGUGCCAGCAGCCGCGGUAAUACGGAGGGUGCGAGCGUUAWUCGGAAUUACUGGGCGUAAAGCGCAUGCAGGUGGUUUGUUAAGUCAGAUGUGAAAGCCCGGGGCUCAACCUCGGAAUAGCAUUUGAAACUGGCASACUAGAGUACUGUMGAGGGGGGUAGAAUUUUCAGGUGUAGCGGUGAAAAUGCGUAGAGAUCUUGAAGGAAUACCGGUGGYGAAGGCGGCCCCCCUGGACAGAUACUGACACUCC